CGUAAUUCUAUAAAAAUCCUUUGAUUAUUUGAUCACAUUUAGACAUCAUUGAUUCAAAUAGUAAUUUUUAUUUAAAAAAAAAUUAAAUUCAAUGAAUUAUUAAAAUUUUAAAUUCUCGAAUUAUUUAUGGAUUAUCUGUAUUUUUUCACACAUCUUUCGUAAUAAAAACAAAUCAACGAUAACAAUUUUGAUAAGUGGAAAGACAAGAAAAUAAAAAAAUAAAAAUAUCUUUUUCUUAUCUCUUUGCGUUCAAAGUUUACCUUCGCAUUAUGUGCAAAACAAAAUAAAAUAAAUAAACAAGAUAUAAUUAACGAAAGAUGAUACAGUUUCGAAGAUAAGAAUGACAUCAUUUCACGGACCUUGUCCGUGAAUCCGAACGAAACCGGGCUCCUGACCUCAUCCUACGCACCUGCCGGUGGCCCACAACCGAUGGAGACUGCGAUCAUCUCCGAAGUUUUACGACGACACACGAGGGCGCAAUCGAUACCGCGGAGGGGGAUCCGUCUCGCCGCACAGUUACGGUAUCUGUCGUACUCCGCCACGAAAAUUAAAGAUCCGUUUGUGUUACGUGCACAAAAAGAUGUUGCCCGUAACAAGAAUACAAGAAUUCUUCUUAAAUAUUGUAGUUUCCUUUUGCUUAAAAAGACCGCGGUGCUGCCGCGAUGAUCAAAAGGGGGAGAGAAGACGAGGACAAAAAGGAGAACGAAACACAGCAUCAUAGGGGAGAGAGUCAAAGAAUUUUACUGGCGGCUUGCGCGCGCGCGUGCGCGCGCGUACACAUACAUACAUACAGAGUUGAUGCUGGUUUGUUUUUCACCUCGCAUUGUGCGCAUCGUUCGUUACGUCUGGCAAUUAUCUGGCCGCAAGCUCGUACUGCUUUUAAUAUUUUUAAUCCGCGAAACUUGAAGCUGAACCACGCAAAGUAACUUUACUGUAAUUUUAUUUAUUUAUUUAUUUAUUUUUUCUAACGUAAGAGGAAAUUUUCCGUAAUAAAAUUUUAUUUCAAAAUCUCGAUACAUUUCAUCGAAUGUGAAAUGAUCAGCAAAUGAAAAAUUAAUUUAUUUUUAUA